GAUGAACGCUGGCGGCGUGCCUAAUACAUGCAAGUCGAGCGAACAGACGAGGAGCUUGCUCCUCUGACGUUAGCGGCGGACGGGUGAGUAACACGUGGAUAACCUACCUAUAAGACUGGGAUAACUUCGGGAAACCGGAGCUAAUACCGGAUAAUAUAUUGAACCGCAUGGUUCAAUAGUGAAAGACGGUUUUGCUGUCACUUAUAGAUGGAUCCGCGCCACAUUAGCUAGUUGGUAAGGUAACGGCUUACCAAGGCAACGAUGCGUAGCCGACCUGAGAGAGUGAUCGGCCACAAUGGAACUGAGAAACGGUCCAGACUCCUAAGGGAGGCAGCAGUAGGGAAUCUUCCGCAAUGGGCGAAAGCCUGACGGAACAACGACGCGUGAGUGAUGAAGGUCUUCGGAUCGUAAAACUCUGUUAUUAGGGAAGAACAAAUGUGUAAGUAACUAUGCACGUCUUGACGGUACCUAAUCAGAAAGCCACGGCUAACUACGUG
rnacentral:rRNA from 1 species